rnacentral:misc_RNA from 1 species
GAUGAAGAACGUAGCGAAAUGCGAUACUUGGUGUGAAUUGCAGAAUCCCGUGAACCAUCGAGUCUUUGAACGCAAGUUGCGCCUCAAGCCAUUAGGUUGAGGGCACGUCUGCCUGGGCGUCACAUAUCGUUGCCUGAUGCCAGUUUCCUCGUGAUGGGUGACUGUGCAGGGCGAAUGAUGGCUUCCCGUGAGCAUUGUUGCCUCAUGGUUGGUUGAAAAUUGAGUCCUUGGUAGGGAGCGCCGUGAUAGAUGGUGGUUGAGUGACGAACGAGACUCAAUCAUGUGAGACCCCUACCGAAUUUGGCCUUCAUGACCCACAUGCGUCUUUGGAACGCUCAUGACGAGACCUCAGGUCAGGCGGGGCUACCCGCUGAGUUUAAGCAUAUCAAUAAGCGGAGGA